rnacentral:rRNA from 1 species
GAUGAACGCUGGCGGCGUGCCUAACACAUGCAAGUCGAACGGAAAUUACGGACGGAAGUUUUCUGAUGGAAGCCUGUACUUCUUAGUGGCGGACGGGUGAGUAACGCUUGGGCAACCUGCCCUAUCCAGGGGGAUAGCAGCUUGAAACGUCUGGUAAGCCCGCAUAAGUCGGCGAGACGGCAUGGUUUUGCCGUGAAAUGAGCAAUCAGGUAUAGGAUGGGCCCGCGUCCGAUUAGCCAGUUGGCAGGGUAAAAGCCUACCAAAGCAACGAUCGGUAGCCGGACUGAGAGGUCGGACGGCCACAUUGGGACUGAGACACGGCCCAAACUCCGACGGGAGGCAGCAGAGGGGGAUAUUGCACAAUGGAGGAAACUGUGAUGCAGCGACGCCGGGUGAGUGAAGAAGUAGGUCGGUAUGUAAAGCUGUAUCAGCAGAGAAGAUGAUGACGGUACCUGACUAAGAAGCCCCGGCUAACUACGUG